rnacentral:tRNA from 1 species
GCGAGUAUAACUCAGUUGGUAGAGUGUGGUCCUUCCAAGUCCAAAGUCGCGUGUUCGAAUCACGUUACUCGCA